rnacentral:rRNA from 1 species
CGGGUUGUAAAGUACUUUCAGCAGUGAGGAAGGUGGUAUGUUAAUAGCAUACUCAUUUGACGUUAGCUGCAGAAGAAGCACCGGCUAACUCCGUGCCAGCAGCCGCGGUAAUACGGAGGGUGCGAGCGUUAAUCGGAAUUACUGGGCGUAAAGCGCAUGCAGGUGGUUUGUUAAGUCAGAUGUGAAAGCCCGGGGCUCAACCUCGGAAUUGCAUUUGAAACUGGCAAACUAGAGUACUGUAGAGGGGGUAGAAUUUCAGGUGUAGCGGUGAAAUGCGUAGAGAUCUGAAGGAAUACCGGUGGCGAAGGCGGCCCCCUGGACAGAUACUGACACUCAGAUGCGAAAGCGUGGGGAGCAAACAGGAUUAGAUACCCUGGUAG